GACGAACGCUGGCGGCGUGCUUAACACAUGCAAGUCGAACGGAAAGGCCCUGCUUUUGUGGGGUGCUCGAGUGGCGAACGGGUGAGUAACACGUGAGUAACCUGCCCUUGACUUUGGGAUAACUUCAGGAAACUGGGGCUAAUACCGGAUAGGAGCUCCUGCUGCAUGGUGGGGGUUGGAAAGUUUCGGCGGUUGAGGAUGGACUCGCGGCUUAUCAGCUUGUUGGUGGGGUAGUGGCUUACCAAGGCUUUGACGGGUAGCCGGCCUGAGAGGGUGACCGGCCACAUUGGGACUGAGAUACGGCCCAGACUCCUACGGGAGGCAGCGGUGGGGAAUAUUGCACAAUGGGCGGAAGGCUGAUGCAGCAACGCCGCGUGGGGGAUGACGGCCUUCGGGUAGUAAAGCGCUUUCGCCUGUGACGAAGCGUGAGUGACGGUAAUGGGUAAAGAAGCACCGGCUAACUACGUG
rnacentral:rRNA from 1 species